GAUGAACGCUGGCGGCGCGCCUAACACAUGCAAGUCGAACGAUUAAAGCACCUUCGGGUGUGUAUAAAGUGGCGAACGGCUGAGUAACACGUGGGCAACCUGCCCCUUUCAUUGGGAUAGCCACGGGAAACCGUGGAUAAUACCGAAUACUUCGAGACUUCCGCAUGGAAGACUCGAGAAAGCUCCGGCGGAGAGGGAUGGGCCCGCGGCCUGUUAGCUUGUUGGUGGGGUAACGGCCUACCAAGGCAAUGAUGGGUAGCUGGGUUGAGAGACCGACCAGCCAGAUUGGGACUGAGACACGGCCCAGACUCCUACGGGAGGCAGCAGUGGGGAAUCUUGCACAAUGGGCGAAAGCCUGAUGCAGCGACGCCGCGUGCGGGAUGAAGGCCUUCGGUUGUAAACCGCUUUCAGCAGGGACGAGGCGAAAGUGACGGUACCUGCAGAAGAAGCCCCGGCUAACUACGUG
rnacentral:rRNA from 1 species